rnacentral:lncRNA from 1 species
AUGGUCUCUACUAAAGAAGAGAUUACUCUAGAGAUGUUACUGUUUUCUCUAGGUUUCAAAACAUAUGCGCUGUUGUAUGUGGCCAUGCGGCUGUUGUAUGUGAUUGUUGUAACACCUUCCUGUUAAUAUUUGUACAGACUUUGCACACUACAUUUUGAUGAGAAGUAAGAUUAGCUUGCUACUGUCAAGAUGAUAGAAAAUGGACAUGCUCUCUACUAAAGAAGAGAUUACUCUAGAGAUGUUACUGUUUUCUCUAGGUUCCAAAACAUAUGCGCUGUUGUAUGUGGCCAUGCGGCUGUUGUAUGUGAUUGUUGUAACACCUUCCUGUUAAUAUUUGUACAGACUUUGCACACUACAUUUUGAUGAGAAGUAAGAUUAGCUUGCUACUUGUUAAGAUGAUAAGAAAUGGACAUUUUCUCUACUAUAGUAGAAAUUACUCUAGAUAUGUUACUAUUGCUCUAUAUUGCAGAACAUAGAACAUAUGUGGCUGUUGUAUCAUUGUAUGUGAUUAUUGUAACAUCUUCCUUAAGUUCUGAAUGCAAUAAUAUUUUCUGAUCUAUUCCAGAUUUCCCAAAGUUCUGAAUUCAAUAACAUCUUCUGAUCUAUUGCAGAUUUCCCAAAGUUCUGAAUGCAAUAACAUCUUCUGAUCUAAUGCAGAUUUCCCAAAGGUACACAAGUUCACUAAGGUUUGGAGGACCUUCAAGUUGCUGAAGAUUUGGAAGACCUACAAUUAAGUUGUUGGAGUGAUAAUGUCAUUUGUCUUGUUUGUUGAACCUAGAGACUUGAUAUGCUCAUUUUGUUGGUUAUUAAGCUCAUUUUGGUUGUGUGGCACACAUCUAGAAACAUAUCUACAUCUCCUUUUGUGGCACUAUUUUAUUUUGGUUGUGUGGCAAACAUAUAUGUACUCCUUUUGUGGCACAACCUCCUUAUAUAUGGACGAAUGAAGUUUUAAGGUUUUCAAUGAAGCCUAUAUGUUACUUUGAU